rnacentral:lncRNA from 1 species
GUAGCUCAACAGAGUAAGUUGAAAUUGCGUUGUGAAAGCUGAGGUUGAAAGGUUGAGCUAAAGAGCUUUGUUUUUUUUAAAUCGUACAGUCUGCCGGAAAUCACUGAGGGUUUCUGUAUUGUUGAAUGAUGCGAUCUGCCUUCCUUUGGGAAGAUAACCUUGUCCUGGGAUUAGGAAGAGGAGGAAGAGCUCUACACCCACCUGAUCUGGAAGGGGAGCUCUUCCAGGCCUCUGACUUGUGAAGACAGACACUGCAGAGGACUUUUUGCUGAGAAAAGAAGCUGAAUGAAGGGAUGGAUGUCUUUAAAAGGUAAACACAGACUUUGACAGAGGAAUUGAUUUGGAGAGGGCAGAGCAGCUCCCAAGGCAGAUCAGCACACAUCAGGCAACCCUGGGAGUUGCUGGCAGCCCAAACACCAGGCCAAUCAGCAUCUCUUCUGGAGUGGAUGGGAGAGGCAUGAAUAAUGCUGGGACGGAAC